CGCCUGGGGAGUGCGGCCGCAAGGUUAAAACUCAAAUGAAUUGACGGGGGCCCGCACAAGCGGUGGAGCAUGUGGUUUAAUUCGACGCAACGCGAAGAACCUUACCUGGCCUUGACAUGCAGAGAACUUUCCAGAGAUGGAUUGGUGCCUUCGGGAACUCUGACACAGGUGCUGCAUGGCCGUCGUCAGCUCGUGUCGUGAGAUGUUGGGUUAAGUCCCGUAACGAGCGCAACCCCUAUCCCUAGUUGCUAGCAGUUCGGCUGAGAACUCUAGGGAGACUGCCGGUGGCAAACCGGAGGAAGGUGGGGAUGACGUCAGGUCAUCAUGGCCCUUACGGCCAGGGCUACACACGUGCUACAAUGGUGCGCACAGGGGGCUGCAAACCCGCGAGGGGGAGCCAAUCUCACAAAACGCAUCGUAGUCCGGAUCGCAGUCUGCAACUCGACUGCGUGAAGUCGGAAUCGCUAGUAAUCGUGUAUCAGAAUGUCACGGUGAAUACGUUCCCGGGCCUUGUACACACCGCCCGUCACACCAUGGGAGUGGAUUGCACCAGAAGUGGUUAGUCUAACCUUCGGGAGGACGAUCACCACGGUGUGGUUCAUGACUGGGGUGAAGUCGUAACAAGGUAACCGUA
rnacentral:rRNA from 1 species